rnacentral:snRNA from 1 species
CCAUAUGGUUUCAAUUGUGGUU